AGGCGAAAAGAACCCCGGCGAGGGGAGUGAAAAAGAACCUGAAACCGUGUACGUACAAGCAGUGGGAGCCUCUUAAUGGGGUGACUGCGUACCUUUUGUAUAAUGGGUCAGCGACUUAUAUUCUGUAGCAAGGUUAACCGAAUAGGGGAGCCGAAGGGAAACCGAGUCUUAACUGGGCGUUAAGUUGCAGGGUAUAGACCCGAAACCCGGUGAUCUAGCCAUGGGCAGGUUGAAGGUUGGGUAACACUAACUGGAGGACCGAACCGACUAAUGUUGAAAAAUUAGCGGAUGACUUGUGGCUGGGGGUGAAAGGCCAAUCAAACCGGGAGAUAGCUGGUUCUCCCCGAAAGCUAUUUAGGUAGCGCCUCGUGAAUUCAUCUCCGGGGGUAGAGCACUGUUUCGGCAAGGGGGUCAUCCCGACUUACCAACCCGAUGCAAACUGCGAAUACCGGAGAAUGUUAUCACGGGAGACACACGGCGGGUGCUAACGUCCGUCGUGAAGAGGGAAACAACCCAGACCGCCAGCUAAGGUCCCAAAGUCAUGGUUAAGUGGGAAACGAUGUGGGAAGGCCCAGACAGCCAGGAUGUUGGCUUAGAAGCAGCCAUCAUUUAAAGAAAGCGUAAUAGCUCACUGGUCGAGUCGGCCUGCGCGGAAGAUGUAACGGGGCUAAACCAUGCACCGAAGCUGCGGCAGCGACACUAUGUGUUGUUGGGUAGGGGAGCGUUCUGUAAGCCUGUGAAGGUGGCCUGUGAGGGUUGCUGGAGGUAUCAGAAGUGCGAAUGCUGACAUAAGUAACGAUAAAGCGGGUGAAAAGCCCGCUCGCCGGAAGACCAAGGGUUCCUGUCCAACGUUAAUCGGGGCAGGGUGAGUCGACCCCUAAGGCGAGGCCGAAAGGCGUAGUCGAUGGGAAACAGGUUAAUAUUCCUGUACUUGGUGUUACUGCGAAGGGGGGACGGAGAAGGCUAUGUUGGCCGGGCGACGGUUGUCCCGGUUUAAGCGUGUAGGCUGGUUUUCCAGGCAAAUCCGGAAAACCAAGGCUGAGGCGUGAUGACGAGGCACUACGGUGCUGAAGUGACAAAUGCCCUGCUUCCAGGAAAAGCCUCUAAGCAUCAGGUAACAUCAAAUCGUACCCCAAACCGACACAGGUGGUCAGGUAGAGAAUACCAAGGCGCUUGAGAGAACUCGGGUGAAGGAACUAGGCAAAAUGGUGCCGUAACUUCGGGAGAAGGCACGCUGAUAUGUAGGUGAAGCGACUUGCUCGUGGAGCUGAAAUCAGUCGAAGAUACCAGCUGGCUGCAACUGUUUAUUAAAAACACAGCACUGUGCAAACACGAAAGUGGACGUAUACGGUGUGACGCCUGCCCGGUGCCGGAAGGUUAAUUGAUGGGGUUAGCGGUAACGCGAAGCUCUUGAUCGAAGCCCCGGUAAACGGCGGCCGUAACUAUAACGGUCCUAAGGUAGCGAAAUUCCUUGUCGGGUAAGUUCCGACCUGCACGAAUGGCGUAAUGAUGGCCAGGCUGUCUCCACCCGAGACUCAGUGAAAUUGAACUCGCUGUGAAGAUGCAGUGUACCCGCGGCAAGACGGAAAGACCCCGUGAACCUUUACUAUAGCUUGACACUGAACAUUGAGCCUUGAUGUGUAGGAUAGGUGGGAGGCUUUGAAGUGUGGACGCCAGUCUGCAUGGAGCCGACCUUGAAAUACCACCCUUUAAUGUUUGAUGUUCUAACGUUGGCCCCUAAUCGGGGUUGCGGACAGUGUCUGGUGGGUAGUUUGACUGGGGCGGUCUCCUCCUAAAGAGUAACGGAGGAGCACGAAGGUUGGCUAAUCCUGGUCGGACAUCAGGAGGUUAGUGCAAUGGCAUAAGCCAGCUUGACUGCGAGCGUGACGGCGCGAGCAGGUGCGAAAGCAGGUCAUAGUGAUCCGGUGGUUCUGAAUGGAAGGGCCAUCGCUCAACGGAUAAAAGGUACUCCGGGGAUAACAGGCUGAUACCGCCCAAGAGUUCAUAUCGACGGCGGUGUUUGGCACCUCGAUGUCGGCUCAUCACAUCCUGGGGCUGAAGUAGGUCCCAAGGGUAUGGCUGUUCGCCAUUUAAAGUGGUACGCGAGCUGGGUUUAGAACGUCGUGAGACAGUUCGGUCCCUAUCUGCCGUGGGCGCUGGAGAACUGAGGGGGGCUGCUCCUAGU
rnacentral:rRNA from 1 species